CGACGUAUAGGCGAUGUGGCGCACGCCCGCCGCCACGGCCGCGUCGAUGGCGUUCUUGUGCAGGAGCGGCCGGUCCGGUCCGACCACGUCGA
rnacentral:tRNA from 1 species